UAAUCCCUGCCCUGUACGACAGCAGCUCUUUUUUAACCCACAUUUUUAGUACGGGAUUUCGGAAAGUUUUGGCAUCGAGCAGCAGGCCUCCCGGGUAUACACGGACGUUGGAAGCGCAGACAUGCCAAACAGAAAACCCACCUGCCGAGUCGUGCAGGUUACUAAUCGGGCUGCAUCGGCAGGGCGGGGGUUUC
rnacentral:other from 1 species